rnacentral:rRNA from 1 species
AUUGAACGCUGCGGCAGGCUUAACACAUGCAAGUCGAGCGAGCGGCGGACGGGUGAGUAAUGCUUAGGAAUCUGCCUAUUAGUGGGGGACAACAUCUCGAAAGGGAUGCUAAUACCGCAUACUAUUAGAUGAGCCUAAGUCGGAUUAGCUAGUUGGUGGGGUAAAGGCCUACCAAGGCGACGAUCCGUAGCGGGUCUGAGAGGGUGAUCCGCCACACUGGGACUGAGACACGGCCCAGACUCCUACGGGAGGCAGCAGUAGGGAAUAUUCGGCAAUGGGGGGAACGCUGAUCCAGCAAUGCCGCGUGUGUGAAGAAGGCUUUAGGGUUGUAAAGCACUUUUGGCGAGGAAGCGUUAUUCGCAGAGAAAGCAACGGCUAACUCCGUGCCAGCAGCCGCGGUAAUAC